rnacentral:lncRNA from 1 species
GAAUGUCCAGUUUUUUGCUUUCCUGGCUUCCUGGACUUUCUUGUGGCUACCAACAGCUCCCCAUCCCCAAAUUGUUACACACCUCUGUUCAAUUUCCUGACCCUCUGUACUUUUGCCCUGUGUCCUCCCAUACCAGAUCCUGUCUCCUUUUCCAUCCCCUCCACCUCCGAUCUUCCUCUCAAGUCCCUCUCACCCUCUAUCUCCCUUGAUUAUUUUGUUCCCACUUCUAAAUAGGACUGAAGCAUCCACACUUUGGUCUUCCUUCUUGAGCGUCCUAUGGUUUGUGAGUUGAAUGGGGAACAUAAUGGUGUUUGUCCGUUAACGAUGGGGUUAUUUCAACCAGUAUAUUUUUUGCCAGUUCCAUAACUUAGAACAAGAUGUAAAACUAUAAACUCUUUCUGCACCGUGCUGCCUUGACACUGAAGUGCUUCCACAUUAAUGAUAAUGAACUGAACCUCGGAACGAUAACGUAAUUUCAGUAUGAUCAAAGAUACAACACUUACCAUCUGGGCCAAUUAUCCAACUAAAGUUCCACUUUAUGUAAUGAAGGUUCUCUUCAGAUGGCCUGAAUAGAUGGACUGAAGCAGACAGAUAUGCUUUCAAUGUGAUCAAGUCAUGUGCACAUGAGCAUAGUUAUUAUACAGGUGUAGUAUGAGAAGAAAGAAGAAAGUGUGGAUCAGUUUGCUUGAAAUGUGACUUUCCACAGACACUGUCCAUCACAGAUACAAUAGCAAAGAGGAGAAAUGAUCAAAUGUAUUUCUAUUUCCUUUGCUUAGUUUUGAAGAUUUUCCAU